GCACUCGUAGCUCAACUGGAUAGAGUACCUGGCUACGAACCAGGCGGUUGGAGGUUCGAGUCCUCCCGAGUGCGCCA
rnacentral:tRNA from 3 species